GUCCUGUUGGUGUAGCGGUUUAAGCGUUGGACUAUGAUUGCGGAGAGCAGGGUUCGAAUCCCAGCUCGGUCA